AAGACCUAGGAAUGACUUACCACCUAGAAAUAGUCACCCUACAAAUGAUGCAUACUUUAGGCAAAAUUUUGAACCCCUUAGAAGACCUAGAAAUGGCCCUCAACCGAGAAACAAUCACUCUAGAAAGGCUGCCCAUCCUAGAGCUCAUGGUAGGAGAAAUAACUCUCAUGAAAUGCGAAAUAGUCAUAGUGUUCAAAAUAGAGUAAGAAAU
rnacentral:lncRNA from 1 species